rnacentral:lncRNA from 1 species
AGGCUGUUUUAAUUUGCAGAAAUUCUCAAGCAUUCUUAUCUUGCAUUUAUUGCCUGAUCAAAACGGGAUCCGAGGAGAGAAAUGCCAUACUCUUAGAUCAAAGACUUUGAAAAUUAAAAACUUGUCAACUCUUACUAGCAUAUUGCUUAUUAGAGGGACCAUGGGCUAUCAUUUUUUUAUAAUAUUUUUAUCAUAUCUCAUUUUUUUUCAGGUGGAUACCGAGGUACCCCUAAUUCUACUGCCGGACACUUGUCGAUUUUUUUCUGCGAGGUUGUCGAGCACUUGCUCCUUUUUAUUUCCACGAAAUAUUCAUAUUUUUGCAUAGCCCAUGCCUCUAACGCAAUAAUACUUCAGAAGAGUGAAUCUUUCUGAAUAAAUGUCUUGAUCUU